AACUCGAAUUAUAUUUCAAGAAAACAUCUCUCUUUUAUUUCUAAUACCGAGAAGAAUGAAGCUGACGGAAUUCUACUAGACACCAUAUAACGAGGAUGUUAACAAUCACAAAAGGUUGUGGCUUCGGCUAUUCGCUUACUUUCAUAUGUACAAACCAAUAAGAUGUCAGUUCGCCAAAAAAAAAAAAAACCAAUAAGAUGUCAUUUGUUGCACCAGAAUUUCAUUCUAAAGAUUCUGUUUCCGUUGCUUACUAUAUGUAUAAUUAAUUUCGAUUGCGAUUAUUACUGUUUGAAUUCAUCUCUCGACUGCCUAUGGGGACGUCAAGGUGGACACCAAAAUGGAGGCGCGAUGACCUGCAUCCGGAAAGUGACGUAGCCAUAACGUGCAUGCAAAUAUAAUUUAAUAAAAUAACUUCAAAUGAUCUACUGAAAAAUCGGCAUAGUCUCCUUUGGAAUUAGGUUUUGGCCCCCAAAUUUAAAACCUGCUGAAAAAGUUAUAAUUAUUUCAAAACCACAUCCCCGUCACCUAAUGGGUUAUCAACCCUCUACUACAUGCACGUAUACUCCAAUAUACUUACUGGUGGUUAGGCCUGGCAAUUCCUGACACGAUCCGAUAACCCGACACGACACGACACGAAAUUAACAGGUGUCCGGGUCGACACGAUAACGAAACGGAUCAUUAUCGGGUAACCCGAUAAGCACCUGUUAAGAUAACGGGUUUGUUCGGGUAUACACGUGGGUAACACGAUACACGAUAAGCAAAAUAUUAAUUUAAUAAUUUAUAACCCUAAAAAAAUACUAUAAUAAUUAUAUAUAUAUAUAUAUAUAUUAAUUUAACAAUUUUAUACCCCUAAAAACUAUAAUAAUUAUAUAUAUAUAUAUAUAUAUAUAUAUUAAAUUAACUAUAAUAAUUAUAAUAAUUAUAUAUACUAUAAUAAUUAUACCCAACAUAUUAACUAUAAUAAUUAUAUAUAUAUUAAAUUUUAUACCCCUAAAAUCUAUAAUAAUUAUACAUACAAAAUAAAUAGAUUUAAAUCUACUUAAUAAAUAAAUAUAUAUAUAUACACACACACACCAUUGAACUUCAUGGAAUACGAAUUAUACAAAACUAAUUUCAACGAUCCAACCGUCAAACAUGUUUGUAUAUACUUCGUAUAUACUUCGAGAUUGCAUACGCCAAAAAUUGCAAAAAACAAACAUUUAGAGAGCAAAUAACAUGACAAAACUUUUCGACGGUUAUAAACGAAAAAUCACGAUUUAACAGUCAUUUUAACUCCGAUUUUGAUGAUUUUUUACAACCACACUCCUUGACCCUAUAUGAAUACAAUGAUUGAAUUCGAUCUUCAAUUUAAAAUAUUUACACUAGUGGAUACCACAAAAUCUUAUGUUAUACUUAAUAAAAGUAUGAAUAAACUCUUAAGUAUUAGUGAAUCUAUUGUUUUGAUGGGAUACUCAUUCUACAAAACUAGUUUCAAUGAUCCAACCGUCAAACAUGUUUGUAUAUACUUCGAGAUCGCAUACGCCAAAAAUUGCAAAAAACAAACAUUCAGAGAUCAAGUAAUGGGACAAAAGUUUUUCGACGGUUAUAAACGAAAAAUCACGAUUUAACGGUUAUUUUAACUCCGAUUUUGAUGAUUUUUUACAACUACACUCCUUGACCCUAUAUGAAUACAAGUAAUGAAUUCGAUCUUCAAUUUAAAAUAUUUACACUAGUGGAUACCGCAAAAAAUCUUAUGUUAUACUUAAUAAAAGUAUGAAUAAACUAUUAAGUAUUAGUGAAUCUAUUGUUUUGAUGGGAUACUCAUUCUACAAAAACUAGUUUCAAAGAUCCAACCGUCAAACAUGUUUGUAUAUACUUCGAGAUCGCAUACGUCAAAAAUUACAAAAAACAAACAUUCAGAGAUCAAUUAACGGGACAAAAACUUUUCGACGGUUAUAAAAAGAAAAAUCACGAUUUAACGGUCAUUUUAACUCUGAUUUUGAUGAUUUUUUGCAGCUACACUCCUUGACCUUAUAUGAAUACAAUGAUUGAAUUCGAUCUUCAAUUUAAAAUAUUUACACUAGUGGAUACCACAAAAUCUUAUAUUAUACUUAAUAAAAGUAUGAAUAAACUAUUAAGUAUUAGUGAAUCUAUUGUUUUGAUGGGAUACUCAUUCUACGAAACUAGUUUCAAUGAUCCAACCGUCAAACAUGUUUGUAUAUAUACUUCGAGAUCGCAUACGCCAAAAAUUGCAAAAAACAAACAUUCAGAGAUCAAGUAACGGGACAAAACAUUUUCGACGGUUAUAAACGAAAAAAUCACGAUUUAACGGUCAUUUUAACUCCGAUUUUGAUGAUUUUUUACAACUACACUCCUUGAUGAAUAUGAAUACAAUGAUUGAAUUCGAUCUUCAAUUUAAAAUAUUUACACUAGUGGAUACCACAAAAUCUUAUGUUAUACUUAAUAAAAGUAUGAAUAAACUCUUAAGUAUUAGUGAAUCUAUUGUUUUGAUGGGAUACUCAUUCUACGAAACUAGUUUCAAUGAUCCAACCGUCAAACAUGUUUUUAUAUAUUUCGAGAUCGCAUACGCCAAAAAUUGCAAAAAAACAAACAUUCAGAGAGCAAGUAACGGGACAAAACUUUUCGACGGUUAUAAACGAAAAAAUCACGAUUUAACGGUUAAUUUUAACUCCGAUUUUGAUGAUUUUUUACAACUACACUCCUUGACCUUAUAUGAAUACAAUGAUUGAAUUCGAUCUUCAAUUUAAAAUAUUUACACUAGUGGAUACCACAAAAUCUUAUGUUAUACUUAAUAAAAGUAUGAAUAAACUCUUAAGUAUUAGUGAAUCUAUUGUUUUGAAUGGGAUACUCAUUCUACGAAACUAGUUUCAAUGAUCCAACCGUCAAACAUGUUUGUAUAUAUUUCGAGAUCGCAUACGCCAAAAAUUGCAAAAAAAAAAAAAACAUUCAGAGAUCAAGUAACGGGACAAAACUUUUCGACGGUUAUAAACGAAAAAUCACGAUUUAACGGUUAUUUUAACUCCGAUUUUGAUGAUUUUUUACAACUACACUCCUUGACCUUAUAUGAAUACAAUGAUUGAAUUCGAUCUUCAAUUUAAAAUAUUUACACUAGUGGAUACCACAAAAUCUUAUGUUAUACUUAAUAAAAGUAUGAAUAAACUAUUAAGUAUUAGUGAAUCUAUUGUUUUGAUGGGAUACUCAUUCUACAAAACUAGUUUCAAAGAUCCAACCGUCAAACAUGUUUGUAUAUACUUCAAGAUCGCAUACGUCAAAAAUUACAAAAAACAAACAUUCAGAGAUCAAUUAACGGGACAAAACUUUUCGACGGUUAUAAAAAGAAAAAUCACGAUUUAACGGUCAUUUUAACUCUAAUUUUGAUGAUUUUUUGUAGCUACACUCCUUGAACUUAUAUGAAUACAAUGAUUGAAUUCGAUCUUCAAUUUAAAAUAUUUACACUAGUGGAAACCACAAAAUCUUAUAUUAUACUUAAUAAAAGUAUGAAUAAACUAUUAAGUAUUAGUGAAUCUAUUGUUUUGAUGGGAUACUCAUUCUACGAAACUAGUUUCAAAGAUCCAACCGUCAAACAUGUUUGUAUAUACUUCAAGAUCGCAUACGUAAAAAAAAAUUACAAAAAACAAACAUUCAGAGAUCAAGUAACGGACAAAACUUUUCGACGGUUAUAAACGAAAAAUCACGAUUUAACGGUCAUUUUAACUCCGAUUUUGAUGUUUUUUUACAACCACACUCCUUGACCCUAUAUGAAUACAAUGAUUGAAUUCGAUCUUCAAUUUAAAAUAUUUACACUAGUGGAUACCACAAAAUCUUAUAUUAUAUACUUAAUAAAAGUAUGAAUAAACUAUUAAGUAUUAGUGAAUCUAUUGUUUUUGAUGGGAUACUCAUUCUACGAAACUAGUUUCAAUGAUCCAACCGUCAAACAUGUUUAUAUAUACUUCGAGAUUGCAUACGCCAAAAAUUGAAAAAAACAAACAUUAAGAGAUCAAGUAACGGGACAAAACGUUUCGACGGUUAGAAACGAAAAAUCAUGAUUUAACGGUCAUUUUAACUCCGAUUUUGAUGAUUUUUUACAACUACACUCCUUGACCCUAUAUGAAUACAAUGAUUGAAUUCGAUCUUCAAUUUAAAAUAUUUACACUAGUGGAAACCACAAAAUCUUAUGUUAUACUUAAUAAAAGUAUGAAUAAACUCUUAAGUAUUAGUGAAUAUAUUGUUUUGAUGGGAUACUCAUUCUACGAAACUAGUUUCAAUGAUCCAACCGUCAAACAUGUUUGUAUAUAUUUCGAGAUCGCAUAUGCCAAAAAUUGCAAAAAACAAACAUUCAGAGAGAACGUAAUGGGACAAAACUUUUCGACGGUUAUAAACGAAAAAUCACGAUUUAACGGUUAAUUUAACUCCGAUUUUGAUGAUUUUAUACAACUACACUCCUUGACCUUAUAUGAAUACAAUGAUUGAAUUCGAUCUUCAAUUUAAAAUAUUUACACUAGUGGAUACCACAAAAUCUUAUGUUUAUACUUAAUAAAAGUAUGGUAUAGUACUAUUGUUUUAUUUUUUUUCAUAAUUAUUUUGGUAAACUUCUCAUAAUUUGAAUAAUUUUUAAUGUUUGGUUUUUCUAUGCUUAGUUUAUGCAGAAGAUAGUUAUGACGUGGAAAACCUUACUGAAAAGGUCAUCAACAUAACUCUUGAAGGCAAUAGAUCAAGCCAAAGUUCCAAUGCAAUUUCAUGAUGAUCGAUGUAAAUCGAUGAUUUUGUAAAUUGAGGUUUAAACUUUUGAGAAAGAUUUCAUAACCUUGAAAACAAAAACUGUUUCAUUUUGCAUAUCCUUGCACAUAUAAAAUUUGUAAUAGAUUAGUAGUGUAUGUAUUAUUUUUUUAUUAGGCUCUUAUUUUCGAGUGUAGAUGUAGUACUUAAACGACAAAUGUGUUUUAAUGUUUUGAAGUAAUAUUUAUGUGGCAAUGUGUGGUAUGUGCAAAUUUAAGAAAAAAAAAAUAUUUUUCUUAACGGGUCAUAACGGGUCGGGUCACUUUACCCGUUGGGUAAAGUGACACGACCUGUUAAGGACCCGUUAAGAUAACAGGUGUGACACGACACGACCCAUUAAGAUAACAGGUGUUAUACGAAAACGACACGAACACGACUGACACGACCCGUUUGCCAGGCCUACUGGUGGUAUAGCAUACAAUUUCAUACACUAGUGAUAACUAGUGUAAGCUGAAAAUUUAACCAUACACUAGUCAUAGUUAGUGUAAGAAAUGCAAAAGAUUGGGGAGAUGCGAAAGAACUCAUCUCUGGUCCUGGAAAUAUUGCAUACAAUAUUGCUCUACCAAUUAAACCAAAUCUUAUGACUCUAGUGACAAGCUAGAAAGCCACAAAAGAAUAAACAAGGAAUCAGGCUAUGCAAUUUCCUACCACAUUUUCACAUCAACGUGAUUGUUAGGGGUUUCAACAACUUCACAGAAUAACCACAAAUCUCAUCUCCGGCAUUCAGGCAGAAAAAUCAAAUAAAAGUUUGAAAUCAAGAAUCAAUCCCGAAACUGAAAGUUGAAAUUUUGGAAAAAUAACUUACAUCAGAGGACUUUCCAUGAGGAGAAGAUCAUUUUUACCUCUUGGGUCGAGGACAUUCCACGAUGAGCCUGCAUAAAUGAACCAAUUAAACAAAGAAAUGAAAACCGAAUAACUCGGAAGCUAAAGUAUCACAGAUAGAAAAUUGCAUAUACCUAACUAAAAAUGCACAACCUAACGAGAUGUGGUAGUCUAAGUGUAUAACACAAGGGUGAGAAGUACUCUAGUGCUCACAAACUGAAGCCACAAGACUACCAGAUAAUGUAGCUUCAGAAAUAUCAUUCGUUCUUUUGCGCACAAUCAUACAUGCUCAUCAGAACAAAGUAUGAUCUCCAACGGAAAUAGAAGUGACACAGGUGAAAGUCAAAAUAAACAAACAAAUAAUAGUGAACGAGAAGGCCCUAAAGAAUUGCUCUAACUAGGAGACAAGCUUAAAUUAUUCAGAUAAUAAGCCUUGCACAAACCCAACUUUCAAAAAACUAGAUUAGUAUGCCGUGAUAUUUAACAAUGCCGUCAAAAACUUGCUUGUUGAACUACUCAACCCUGUAUUCCAUCUCCUUCUCUGCCAUACCAAAAAUUUGCACAAUUGUUUAAAACCAAAUUAAGGUCUUUCGAAAACCCACCAGAGAUUAUUUGAAAAACACGAAUUUAGAACAAUAAUUCAAAACCAAAGAACAGAAAAUCCAUCACACCAGAGUAAAAAUUAACCAUCUUGUUGCUUCCUAACUCUCAAGAAAUAUCCACGUCUCACUUUUACUAAUGUCAAAACACUGCCAUCAUUGAUCAAUUAGACAAAUAAGACCCAAUUCGAUUACGCCCAAACUCACAGAACACCCAGAUUCCCAACAUCAAUUGAACAAUCUAACCAUGAAUUUCCAAAACUUUCCCCAAAAUCCAGUCUUGGGCAUGCAUUAAAUCCAAUCUAAAACUUGAAUUCAUUUUUAGAGAACAAAAAGUAAAAACUUUGGAACAAUGAAGCAAAAGGGUAAUUACCUGUUCCUUGUCCAAAACCGUCGGCGCAUUGUUGGGGGCAGCCAUUAGAACCUGGACAAUUCGCAAAUUCGCAAAUUAAUUUACACAAACUUCUUCGAAACCGAAUGAAUUAGCAGAGAGGGUUUAAGUAAUCUUACUCGGUGGGAUGGAAUCGAACGCGCUGAAAGUGGUAGCUCUAAAUGCAGAGGGGUUUAAGCGUCCGAUUUGAAGCGAAAGCAGGAGAAAAUAAAAAUCCCACUGAGCUAAUAAUAUACGAAUUAGGGUUUUAGGAGUUAAUAUAGCGUGUAUAUGCGAUGGACGGUUUUGUUUUUCGGGGGGAUUUCAACCGGAAAAGUUAGUGGAUUAUUGCCCUUUCUUUUCUCCUUCCCAAAGGCCCUGUAUGGUGGGCCGUCGUAUAUAAUUGUCCUUUUCUUUCUUAUUUUUUGGAUUUUUUUAUUUCUUUUCUAACUCAUAGAUCAUCGGGGCUCAGGUUCAGUUGAUUAAAGUAGUAUGUUUCUUUUGUUAUGCUAUAGUUUGAAUAUUCAUUCAAAUGAUUUAGAUUUCUUGGUGCAAAGUAUCAUUCAAUUAAAGAAAAAACUCGUAUUAUGUUUGCUUACAACCAUUGUAUGUUUGCUAACAACAAAGGAUUUGAGAGGAAAAAAACGUGAAUCCACAUUGAAAGGAAAAAAAUAUGUGCUAGAUUACGCACUGCAAAUGGAAACAAGUUGUCACCCCUAUUUAUCCAAAAAUAAUAUACUUGUUAUAGAAUAUUAUAUUACGAAGGGCGGAGAGCGUGUGUACGGCAAAUUAGGAACGGGUACAGCAACGUAGCAGCACAAGCAAGACGAUGAUUGGAACUGCAACUUACCCCACACAUUCACAGAAGCCUUUUUCUUUCCCCUGCUGGUGUUCAUGAAAGCACUUUGAAGUGAAAAAGCCAUGAAAUUACGAAGGCAAGGAUCAUGCAGACAAGAAGGAAAUUCAUAAUGCAGCGGCCAUGCCACAUGGUUCAGGUUUCAACCUGGAUCAUGGGUGGUGCUGGUACUGAUGCGGCUGUGGCAGUACUGCUAUUUGCCUCGUUAAUCUGGUCACCUGAAAUGUUGAAUGCAGUUACUCCACAGAUCUCGCAGGUUCUGCAAAUCAUAUGAAUAAAAUUAUGCAUAGGCAGAAAAUAACAUAUCAGUCAGACAAGACAAGUAAUUACAACCAUAACGCAACAUAAUGAAGAAAUGUACCAUGAGGAUUUUGAACAAACAUAAUGAAGUGUAACCAACAGCAUACAAAUAUAAAAAAUAUAGAGGAAAAUGCUAUACAAUCACUGUAAGUGAUUUCAAAGGCCAUCAAUCUUCUAUUUCUGUUUCUGGAAAAAAAGUCAUGUCAUCAAGAUGUCGUUCCAUUUGCUUACCAUGAUGAGUAAAAUGAAAUUUGAACUAGCUUGCUGUUCUUGCAUAUCUUCUCCUCAUCCUGGUUACCAAGCAAGUCAGCCUUGACCAAUCCAUCUAUGAUGCAGCUUAUCUAGAUUAUAUUUCCUGUUGCCUAAGUUUGGAUAUUUCCUUUGCAGAGGGUAUAGCGUGCAAGGUCCUAAGAACUUUACCAAAUUAUCAUCCUUCGAGUAGAGAAAAUCUCCCAAAUAUAUAAGCGAAAUAAACUUGUGACGGAAUCAAAGAAUGCAAAUGCUCAUCAUCAUUUACUAAUCCAUAUGCAUAAUGUAAACAUUUACAUCUUUAUUAGAAGCAUACAUAAAAAAUACAUGGCACACAAGAUAUCAACUUUUCGACCUAGGAGCUCAAUUCUUGCAUACAAACACACUUCCUUUAGUUUGCAUUGGACCUCGCACUUUCCACUAAUGUAAAUGCCACAGAAAGUGUGACUGUAAAAACUUUAAACGUAGAACGAUCGAUAUGUUUGAGUUCAGAUGGACUGUAAUAUUGGUGACUACAAGAUUUGUUCUUUUACUAGAUUUUCUCGUAUUUCAUAUGAGCAUACGCAUUCUACUAUAUACGUGAUCUGCCUCAUUUAGCAUUCCAGUAAGAAGCAAAAUGAUAAGAACAAUUGUGACAAUUACAUCAAAAGAAAGAAGCUAAUUAGCAAGUAAUCAUUCGAAUAAGCUGAACUCACAGAAGCAGAAACCUAAACACUAUCAAGAUGGUCUCUGUUGUAGCAUGCCCAUAGUAAGAUCAUAGUUUGAAGUAUGUUAGGAUGCCACUUGUCAUCAUCUCAAUAUGACAAAUGUAAGGUUGAGAUGCUCUAGUAGUAGAUAAGAUGGUUGUAAGUUGUCGGAUGAUAGCUUACAGAGGAAGCUAAGUAGUUUACAUAUAAGGAAGUCGGUUGUAAUUGGGAGGGGGUCAUUGGAAUAAUCUCUGUGUAAUACAAGAAAGUACUAUGCAAUUGUGAAGAAGCCGAGCAAGGUUUUAACAUUGGUAUCAGCCAGUGUCGAUUCCUCUCAAUCCUUCAUUGUUGUAUGCCUCGCCGACCCCGGAACACCAUGGAAUCGCGAGUGUCGACUUUGGAAACCAUGCUCGCCGAUCUCAAAGCUGAGUUCAACUAACAGCCAAGAGAUGAUCAUGAUGCAGCUGCAAUCAUGAUGCAGAUGGAUGCAUUAUUUGUGGCUUUUAUCGUUAUUGAAAUCUUGUUGGAAUUUCGACAUUUAUUGAUCAUAAUGCAUCCAUCUGCAUCUCCGUUGUAUCAUUACCCUGUACAAAGAAAGUGGCUCGAAGUCUUGAGAAGCAACAUAACCAACAAUCACACCACGGCAUUUGGGUGCUCCAUUAGAAAUGGUGGGACUACGACCAGGAAUCCCAGGUACAUUACGUCUUGCUACAGUUAAAAGGGACAAGUGCUCAAAAUCAAAUACAUAUUCGUGAUAUAACUUUGGCACUCUUAUUUCUGAUACAUAGUGACUGAGCAGAUAAUCAUAGAUAAAAUCUUUAAAAAAAAAAAAUAUCACAAUUUCAACCAGAAAUUUCAAUGGCUCUGACGUCAACGUUCUUCAACUCCGCCUUCGGAACAGUGACACUCAGAACUCCAUUCUCCAUGGCAGCCUUAAUCUGAUCAACCUUUGCGUUCUCCGGAAGCUGAAACCUCCUCAAGAACUUGCCGCUGCUCCUCUCCACUCUGUGCCACUUGUCGUUUAUAUCCUCCUUCUCCACGUUCCUCUCUCCGCUGAUCUUAAGCACCCUGUCGUCUUCCACCUCCACCUUCACCUCCUCUUUUUUCAGCCCUGGAACGUCCGCCUUGAACACAUGGGCUUCGGGGGUCUCCUUCCAGUCGACCCUAGUGUUCACAAAAGCCGAAUUCUCCCGAGAAAAUUCAGGAAAUGCGGAGAGUGAUGAGGAGGAAGGGAACGGGAAAUCCUUGAAAGGGUCCCACAGAUUGAGGGAGAAUGGGUCGAAGACGCUGCUGCUUCCUCCUCCGGAGUUGGGAAUUAGCGACAUUCUGAAAAACCGAUGGGGUUGGUUUGGAUGCAGAGAAAUUUGAGAAUUAUUACAGAAAUAUUGCUUUUGCUGGACUGAUUGCAGAAAUAGCGGAUUUGAUAUAUUUAUAAGGAACCGAAGAAUUUUCUAGAACAGACUUGAGGAUGAGGCUGGAAAAGUAUGUGUGAGUUUCUCGAACUUUCUAUGAUGCUUGAGAAUAAUUGGAACUUUCUCAGGACGCUUAAGAAUAAUCCGACGUUUGUGUGAGUUACUCACACAACACGGUUGACUUCAUGAUGAUGAAUGGUGGACCCAAAAACCUAAGUGUGGGGGUUGUAUGGGCCGUUCGAUUUAAUCGGACGGUUAAAACUGAAGAUACUGUGCAAGUUAUAAGCGGGGCGUUUGAAUCUUUGAUAUGUAUUAUUUGGACUUAUUGAUAAAUAAUAAUAGUUCCAUUAAAUUAACAAUAUCAACUAAAUAUCAAUAACAUUUAACAUCUCAUGAAGUAGCUUAUCUAAAGGUAAAGGGAGUUAUAGCCCAAACAAGCAAAUUACGUACCAACAGUUAAGUAAUAUGAUGGUUACUUAGUACUAUAUUUUAAUGAUUUUUUUUAUUUGUGAGUAAGAAAUCUUAAAUUCGAUUUUAAAUUUUAAAGCUUUGAUUGGAUCAGUUUGAAUGAAAAGUGUUAACCAAGCUUCUAAAACUGGAGAAAGGAUUUCUAGGCAGCAAAAGGCAAGACCCAUGGCGUACAAUUGAGAUUUAAAAAAAAAUGGCUUUGAGAUUUUGUUGGUUAGGAUGUCCUUCCCUCAAUUGUGAGCAGCUCUUAAUUUGCUUUCUUCGCAGGCAGGCGAAUUGGAGACAAUAGUAUGCUUUUGAAGGAGUUUCUUAAAAAUUACCACAGAAACAAUGGUCUUCCUAGAUGUGCCUUGCAGGUGGACAUUCUGAUAGCUUGUGAUACCAGGUUGGAAAAUGGGUUACUAGGAUUAGGCUGGUUCAUAGUUCGAUUCCAUUUAAUUGUAACUGGUAGAAGAAAAAAAAACACUUUCAAACGAAUUUGUAUAGAAUUUAUAUGCUACGACUAAUAGUAGCCCUACUAUUGUUCGAAAUAGAUUAUCAAUUCUAAUUGUGAUGUUUGUACCGUAAAAUAAUGUGAUGCCACGAACGAAUAAGGAUGGCUCAAGCCAUGUAUUGUGCCUUGAGAAUGUGGGGUUGGGAAGCAAUGCAUCCAAUUUUUCUUUCACUUUAUCCUUUUUUUUUUUUUUUGUUAAAGAAAAUACCAUAUGGUUCGUAAGCAAAGUAUCCAAAUCUUUUUCACCUUUUUUUUUGAUAAAGAGAAAUACAAAGUGGGUUCGAAAGCAAUGCAUCCCAUUCUCUUUCCCUUUGUCUUUUUCUUGUUAAAAAAGAAUAACCUUUGUCUUUUUCUUGUUAAAAAAGAAUAAAAAUACCUUACUUCAGAAUCACCUCCUCUUGAGGUAAUGCUCGUUAAAUAUAUAUUUUUUGCUUCUCUAUUUAUAUUGUUAGAGAACUCUUAUUAACCUUUCCCCAUUGAAGUUAUCUGCUCAUUGCAUUGCUGAGGUAACAUAAUCUGUCCUCCUUGUGCAUGAUACCAUUCAACAUUCAUAUUUUCUAGCAAAUUCGUGAAGUAACAAUGUCAAGACCAGACACAUGAGUUGUUGCUGAAUAAGUCAUAGAUUUCAGAAUUUCACUUUUACUCUAGCAAACUGUUGCAUUGGGUUGAUUUACAAUACAAGUACGUACGUACAUCUUGGAAACUUUAUUUCUUUUCAAUAUUUGUUGUUUUAGGUGUUUAUUUUUACCCAUGUGUGACUAAGAAACAAAAGUGUUGGUUUUACAUUAUAUUUUCUAGCAAAUUCGUGAAGUACCAGAUCCAACACCAGACAUAUUGUUGUUGAACAAGGCAUAGAUUUCACAAUUUCAUUUUUUUCCCCUACCGGUUAGUUGCAUUUGGUUGAUUACAAUACAGGUACGUAUGUUCUUAGAAACUUCAUUUCUUUUCAAUAUUUGUUGUUUUAGGUGUUUGUACUAUAUGUUUAUGCAUUUUGAUGUUCAUCCACGUCAACUGAAAUUGAGCUAAUCCCCCCCCCCCCAUAAUCGAAUUUUUACUUUUCUCACUCAAUACAAAAAGUUUGAAAACACAUCUACUAUAUGGUGGUGAAAUGUAAACUAUUAGAAAUUUAUAUGCUGUAAAAUAAUAAAGAGUAAAUAAAUAUACACAUGCACUGAAACCAUCAAUUGAAAAUAUGAAUUUACCCCUUGAAAUUCAAUUUUCUUUAACUAAAACUCAUCAUAGUAUAUUUUCCUAACAAAAACUCAUUGACUUUACCUCUUGAGAAAAAAAACAGGGCCUUCGGGUUUUUUACAUAUAUUUUUUUUUAACACUUCUCCUAUUUAUAUUGUUAGAAAGCUCUUAUUAACUCUUCCCCAUUGAAGUUAUCUGUUCUUAUAUUUGCAUUGAUGUGCAUCAUCUUUCCUCCUUGUGCAUGCUAACAUUCAACAUUCAAAUUUUCUUGCAAAUUCGUGAAGCACCACUACCAGUACCAGACAUAUGAUUUGUUGCUGAACAAGGCAUAGAUUUCAAAAUUUUCAAUUUUACUCUGUUGGACAAUUGCAUUGCGUUGAUUUACGAUACAGGUAUGUAGUACUUCUCUUAAACUCUAGUUAUGUCCAAUAUUUGUUGUUUUAGGCGUUUGUUUUUAUCCUGCUUGACUAAGAAACUAAAAUGUUAGUUUUACAAUCUAGUGCCCACCAGAUAUUCUAUUUCAGGAUCCAGAUCAACAAUUUUAUUGAUUAGGUUUUGACUUCACAUAAUUUUGUAUUUUUAGAUGUUUAAAAUAUCCCUAGUAACAUAUGUUAGAUUAAAAACAAAUUUUAAUAUCUUGAUUUCAUUGCAUAUUAAUAAUAAAAGUAUAUGAUUCUAGGGUUUUCAUUGUUUUAUUUUAUUUUUUUCCUUUUUAAAUUCCUUGGUUGCUUUUCAAAUUUGCAUAAGAUUAAAUAAGAUGUUCUUGACCUCCAAAACAAGGGCUUUGAAAAUGUGGCCCAUCCUGCACCUCCACCAGAGAUAUGGUCAACAUUCGAAAAAGGUUUUAAGGAUUUUAAGUCCAGAAAGGCAAACAUGAAUGAGGUGAUAGAGGGUUUGAAGAGGGUAGAAGUACGAAUGAUUGGGAUUUGUGGAAUGGGGGGCGUGGGUAAAACCACAAUGGUAAAAGAAAUCAUCACAAGAUUGGCAAAACUGAACCUGUUUGAUAAGAUUGUAAUGGCAACUGUGUCUCAAAGUCCAAGUAUUAGGACGAUCCAGUCGGAAAUUGCAGACGAAAUAGGCUUGGAAUUUAAGGUGGAAUCCGAGCCCGGAAGAGCACGAAAGCUACAUGAGAGACUCAUGGAAAUAAAGAGGAUCCUCAUUGUAUUAGAUGAUGUAUGGACAGAGCCUAAUUUUGAGGCUAUAGGGCUUCCUUAUGGAGAUACUCAUAAAGGGUGCAAAAUUUUGUUGACAUCAAGAGAUUCGGAAGUCUGCAACAGGAUGGGAAGUCAACAAAUUAUUGCAGUCCCGACUUUAACAACAGAAGAAUCACAGGAGCUCUUUCGAGAAAUGGUAGGUGAAUCCUUCAAUGAUCCUGAUUUACGUUCCACUGCAGAAGAUGUCGUGAAGGAAUGUGGAGGUUUACCUAUUGCUAUUGUAACUGUUGGAAAAGCCCUAGAAAAGAAAAACAAGCGUGAAUGGGAUGAUGCCCUUAAUCAGCUGCGUAAUUCCAGGCCAGAGAAUAUCCCUGGAGUGAACGACAAAGUUUAUUCUUGCAUAAAAUGGAGUUAUGAUAGAUUAGAGAGUGAUGAAGCCAGGUCAUGUCUUUUACUUUGUUGUUUAUUUCCAGAAGAUUAUGAUAUUUCAAUUGAGUAUUUGGUUCGAUAUGGGUGGGGUCGAGGAUAUUUUAGCAGCAUCGUUACUUUGGAAGAUGCAAGAAAUAGAGUGCAUUCUUUGGUUUACCAACUAAAAAGAAGGUUUUUGUUGCUAGAUAGUUAUGUGAGUGAGGCUACGAAAAUGCACGACGUAGUUCGUGAUGUUGCCAUAUCAAUUGCUUCAAGAGAUCCACAUGGAUUUCUGAUAAGUAAUGCUGAAAAUAAAAGGUGGCCAAAUUUAGCUACAUAUGACCAUUACACUACAAUCUCACUUGUUGGCAAAUUGGAGAUUCCAGUUGGUUUGAAAUGCCCAAAACUUGAGCUUCUACAAAAGAUGAAAGGACGUUUUUCAGAAGGUAGCAUGGACAUCAUUAGUGAUACGAUGAGAGAACUGAAGGUUUUAGCUUUGGUGGAAAUGAAAGACCUAGGCUCAUCAAGACCACUAGGAGUACUGAAGAACCUGCGAACCUUGUGCCUAGAUAGGUCUAAAAUUGAUGGCAUGUCUACUGAUGUUAUUGGGAGUUUAGAGAAUUUAGAAAUCCUCAGCUUUCGUGGUUGUGUUUCCUUGCAUGAGUUGCCGAGGGAAAUUGGACGACUUAAACAGUUAAGGUUGUUAGAUACGACAGAUUGCAGGAAUCUUGAGGUGAUUCCACAUGGUAUCUUCUCCAGCUUAUGUAGACUUGAAGAGUUGUAUAUGCUUAAUAGCUUUACGAAAUGGGAAAUUGGAAGAGGAAGAGAAGAUAAGGGGAUGGCAAGCAUUUCUGAGGUGAUGUCUCUGUCUGAUCAUUUGAAGGUUCUAGCCAUAAAUAUACCCAGUGUCAUCCACUUGUUGCCAAAAGAUAGAGUCUUGAAAAGCCCAACAAUAAGAUUCGGUAUAUGCUUUGGAACUGGGCAAUGCGUUUUUGGAAGAUGACAAUUUAUGCAUUCGAAAAUUGUUUGGUGAUUGAUGAAAGUGAUGCAAAGGAGUUGGAGAGUCAAGCAGUUAGACUUUUGUUGAAAAAAUCUAAAAAAUUGAUUUUGAGCAAUGUUAAGAAUUUCCGUGUCCUCACAUAUUUAGACCAAGAGGGAUUUCAAGAUUUGAAAAUUUUGCUUGUUUUGAAUUGUCCAACUACCGAGUAUCUUGCAAAUGGAACAAGUGUGACCCAGCAAAAACUCUUUCCUCUCAUACAGUCAGUUAGUCAGCUUGCAGAUAGCUUUUUGAGCAACCUAAGAUUCCUAAAAUUGGCAGAUUGUGGUAUCUUAAAAUAUGCAUUUUCACUAUCACUAGCGAGAAACCUGGUACAACUCAAAGAUUUAUAUAUUUAUGAAUGUGAUCAGAUGGAAGAAAUUGUGUCAAAGCAGGGGAAGGAACAUGAGGAGGAAGCCGAUAUGAUAUCUUUCCAUAAAUUAACCAAUUUGAGUCUCUGGGGUCUACCGAGUUUGGUUGGUUUCUUCCAAGCCAACAAGCUAUACUCCAACCAAGAGGUAUGUCCCACUCUCCAAUUUCUAUGAUAUGAGGAGGCAACCAAAUUGUGGAAAUUUGAAAUUGUUACGAAAUGCUUAAGUUGGUGUAUAAUUUUUCUUUAACUGAUAAUGAUUUUUCUUUUUCAGGAAACAACGCCAAGGGUUGAGCAUCAAUCUGCAUGAAUAUUUGAAAAAGCAAUAUUUCCAUCAAAGUGCAUUUCAUGGUUACCAAGUUUAGAAAAGGUAGGAUUUGUUUGGAUUAAAACUUGACUUUGGGCUCAAGAUAGAAGCUGGCCCAAAAGGAGGCCUGAAGGAAUAGAAGAUCAAGGCCCGGCCGAAACCUAGGAAAGCAGAGAAGGGCUUUUUCUGACUUGAUACAAUUCAUAAGGACCACUUCCUUACCUACCCAAGGACCAAGUGGUAUAGACUGACCAGACUGCACAGCCCAUAAAGUACUUUAUGGUGGCAUUACAUGUAAAAAAGCUGAUGAGUCAUUACCCUCAAACUGCAUUCGGGCAAGGCUGCUGCUACAGGAGGCCAAACCAAGUUGUCUAUAAAAGGAGGAAGAGAAGACAAGAAUAAGGACACUCAAUCAAACAAACAAAUACAAGCCCAAACUCUGCUCAAAAACCAUAUUUGCCUUCAAAACGAAGCUGUAGUCAGCCCAAGCCUUCAUCCCAUUCGGGACAAGCCUUUAUCCCCCGCGGGAUAACCUUCUCUUCAAACCUUUGUAAUAGCUCUGCUACCUUGUUCGAACUUGUUGUAGUAUCGAUUCACUUUUUGUAUCUCCCUCUCCCCCCUCUCUCCCUCUAAGCUUUCAGACCUUUGACAAAACUACAAAGAUAAGGACCUGUAAGACGAUCAGCCUUAACUGAUAAGGUUUAACCUUGCCCGACCUUCUUUGCUUUGUCUUUGUCUUUUCAUUCUUUAAAGCCUAGCAAUAUGUUGUAUACUUCCAGUUAUAUGCAAGUUGUUUCUAGCAAAAUAAUGAUGAAAAGGCUUUCUCAGUAUUUGGAUCCGAUUUGAAUAUAUCUUCAGUGCUCAAAUCAGAUCCAAGUCCUAAGCCCUCGGGCAUGUAAAUCUGAUCAGUUUAAAAGUCCUUAGCCUCAAGGCAUAAAAAAGAACUUUAUGUGGACUUAACCCAUCCACGACAGUCCUUGAUAAACGAGAAGUCCGAAGUUACUUGGGGCGCAAGUAAUCGACCUACCUCUUGGUUUUGUUUCUAUUAUAUUAUGAUUAUCAUAGAACGCUUAAAUAUGGAAUAGAUUCUGAUAGGAAGCCUCAAGGCCUACACCUAAGGCCCCACAAAGGCACCUAUUUGGAUUCAUUCUAUUCUGCGGUCUAGACUGUUCGAAGAACGAACUCUAAUGGGAAGCCUCAAGGCCUACACCUAAGGCCCCACAAAAGCACCCAUUUGGGUUCGCUCUACCUCUCGGACUCGGGUAAUCAGAAGUAUAAUGGUGAGAAGACUUCUGCAAUCAUAAAGAUCAAAUAUGAUGUGUUCGAGCACUGGUUUAGUUUGAGAGAAAGCCUCAAGGCUUACACCUAAGGCCCCACAAAGGCACAUGUCAUGUCUAAACACGGUUUCUUGGGCAUAUACAUAUUCACAACUAAAACUCGACAUCCAUUCGACAUCUACCAUACUGAAGAUGGCAGUGGCACGCCUGAGCACCUCAAAAGUUAAUCUUGAUUGUGAGCCUCAAGGCCUAUACCUAAGGCCCCACAAAGGCACCUUUCAAAUUAACUCUGUCAUUCUCUUUCAGCACUGCCCGACGAGCCUUGCCCGAAGAGUCUUGCCCGAUCAAGACUUGCCCGACAAAGCCCGAUAGGAAAGCAGAAGCCCGACAGCAGCCCUCAACCGGCGCCAACCUCCCGGGGAGCUGUGUGCUUGUUGGCCAGGAAGACAUCCCCGACGGAAAUUCCUGCGACGAACAGGAUUGACAUAUAUUAUGAUGUUUGACGGCGUGAUAUUUGAUCUUAAAAUCCACAUAGUUACGGAUGGGCAGACAACUCCAAUAUUUCCUCAGUUACGUGAGUUGGCAAUAAGGAGUUGUUCAUUUACACACUUGUGGAAAAACAUUCCAUUUGGAUUUCAGGGUUUCCAAAAUUUGAGAUAUUUGAAAUUAAGAUAUUGUUAUGGUCCAGAAUAUGUGUUCUCGCAUUUAAUUGCCCGGGAACUUUUGAAUCUUGAAGAGGUAAAGAUAUCAAAAUGUUCGGACAUGGAAACUAUAGUCAGAAUCACAGAGGAAAUUGAAGAAGAGGCGACAAAAUACAUGAUUUUGUUUCCGAGACUGAACAGAUUUGAACUAGUAGACCUGCCUCGUCUCACAAGUUUUUGUCCAGAGGGAUUUACAUUUCAAUGGUCAUCCACAAAAGAUAUGCACGUGGAAAAAUGUGAAAAAUUGAAGACAUUGGGUGCUGUAAUUCCACAAAGAAAGAAGUUGGAGAAUUAUAAGUCUGAGAAGGAUUCAACAAGUCAUGAUUUCAGUACUUCUCCAACACGUUCAUCCAAUUGGUGCCCUGCUGGAUGUGUAUGCAUACCAUAUUUAAGAGCAAACGCCCACUGCUCCAUUGAAAUAUUGCCACAUCCAAUUAAUUUGGAGGUAAGCUUUUAAAUUAGGUUCAAUUAACCUCUAUAAGUACAACUUUUAAUUAGUAUUGUAUCUUGUUGUUGAUCAUGUUUAAUUUUCUAGGUUACACCAACUAAUCUUGGGGACUCAAAUGAUAAUGAUAAUCUCGAAAAUCUUAUUGUACAUGACUGUGCGUCAUUGGAAGUGAUUUUCCAACUCAAGGGACCGAAGCAUGAAGAAAGUAGUCACUCUGUUGAAGCAUUCAAUAAAUUGAGGUCCUUGCGGUUACAUAAGCUCUAAGUUUAACGUGUGUUUGGGAGACAGGUAGUUCACAGCCGAUGUUCACAGGAAGCAGUUUUGGAAACUUGAAAUCGCUGCAGGUCGAUUUUUGCAACCAGUUGAAAUACUUGUUUUCGUCGUUCAUAGUCAAACUCCUUGUGAGUAUAGAGGAAGUAGAAGUUAAGAAGUGUGAGCAGAUGAAAGAAAUCGUUGCCGCAGAAGAAGAAACUGAUGAAAUAAUUACAUUACCUAAAGUGAAGUCCAUCAAGCUUCAAAGUCUGCCAAAACUCAAUUAUUUUUGUGGUGAUGCUUAUACUUUGAAGUUGUCGUCUUUGGAGUUACUGGAGGUUAAGAAGGUCCAAAACUUAAGGCGAUUUGCUCCUAAGCUUGUUGACACACAUCCCCGAUUGCAAGUACGCACAGCGUUGGGAGUGGCUGAAUGGAAGGAGGACCUCAAUGCCACUCUAAGGAAUAUUUACGACACAAGGUAUGCUUUAAUGUAAGGUUUUUAAUUUUCAGUCAUUUAUGUGCGUAUUUAAUGUAAGAAUGCGAGCUGGAUGGAUGAAGUGUAAGAAUGCAUCCGGCGUAUUGUGUGACCGUCGUAGGCCACUGAAGCUCAAGGGAAAAUUUUAUAGGACGGCAAUAAGGCCGCGAUGUUGUAUGACACAGAAUGUUGGGCGGUGAAGCAUCAACACGUACACAAAAUGGGUGUAGCGGAGAUGAGGAUGCUUCGUGGGAUGUGUGGGCACACGAGAAAGGAUAAGAUUGGGAAUGAGGAUAUCCGAGGUAAAGUAGGAGUAGCCGAAAUUGUAGGAAAGAUGAGAGAAAAUCGGCUCCGGUGAUUUGGACAUGUGCAAAGAAGGCCGAAUGACGCUCCGGUUCGAAGAUGUGACUACGGGACAGAGGUUCAGGGCCGAAGGGGCAGAGGAAGACCUAGGAAAACUUUGGAAGAGACUCUAAGAAAAGACUAAGAGUACUUGGAUCUAACGGAGGACAUGACACAAAACCGAGCGCAAUGGCGUUCUAGGAUUCAUAUAGCCGACCCCACUUAGUGGGAAAAGGCUUUGUUGUUGUUGUUGUUGUUGUAUGUGCGUAUUUAAAGAUGUUUUUUUUUUUAAAACAUCUAUCUUUUAAUUCUUGAUGUAUACGUGGGAUUUCUAAAGUUUUUACAAAAGACUGAAUAAUAGCGUACAUAUAUUAAUGUAUAUGUGUGUGUAUAUGCGAGUAUGUGCACACUAAGGUGUGUGUGUGCCUAUAUAUAUAUAUUUUUUUUUAACUCAAUUGUAUCUCAAGAAAACAUCGUCUUUUAUUUCUAAUACAGUAAGGAUGAAGAUGACGAACUCGACAGUGAGGAUGAAGAUGACGAACUCGACAGUGAGGAUGAAGAUGACGAAAUCAACGGCGAGGAUGAAGAUGACGAAAUCGACAAUGAGGAUGAAGAUGAGGAAAUCGACGGCGAGGAUGACGAUGACAAAAUCGACGGCAAUGAUGAAGAUGACGAAAUGAACAGGGACGACGAACACAAUUGAUUGAUCAAGCACAAAGAUUAGCAUGUUUCCAUCUCCAACUUCUUCUAGGUUUAGUAAAAACUGAUGAAAAUUGUCUAUAUAGUACUCAAAAAAAUAUUCUACCAUGUUUUAUAUAAUAUAUACAUACAUUUAUAGCACUUAAAAAAAUUUAACAGUUUGGAUCUAAAACCAGAAUCUGCUACCUGUUUCAUUUUUUCGAGGUACCUAAUAGCAAUUAAGGACCUUUGUCAGACACGUAUACAAUAAACAUAACCCUAGUGCUAAGUGGCUUAAAAAUUAAUUUAGUCCUUAAACCGCUAUUUUUGGAAACACAUACAACAAGCACAAGCGUUUCAACUUAUUCCAAUUUCAGUGAUUUCUAAUAUUCUCCAAUGCAUGCAGGAAAAGAGUUUAAAGAACGUUGUGGCUACAGCAAUUCGUUUACUAUAUCAUAUGUACAAACCAAUAAAAGGACAUUUGUUGCACCCUAAUUUCAUUCCAAAAAUACUAUUUAUGUUGCUUAUUUUAUGUACCAUAAAUUCCAAUUGCGAUUAUUACUGUUUGUUUCUAAAUUCGCAUCAUUAGUGUUUGCUUAUUUGUGCUCGAUGUUGAUUAUAUUCUUGCAUUUCCAUUCAUAAUGAUAAUUUGGAAGUCUUGUCUCUAGCUAACUAAUAUUUGCAUUUCAAUUGAUAAUGAAAAUUCUAUGAUACCAUACAAGUGUUAGCUGAAUGACAUGUCUGUAGGAUGGAAAGCUGAAUAUACUGUAAUAUUGAUCACACACAUAUAAACUGAACAAUAUUAUGAUACACUAGCUAGCCGUAACUAAUGAAAGCUGAAUAAUAUGAUCACACACUAUAAAGUCCGCUAUUAUAGAAACUAACUUGGGGAUUGGAUAAGGGACGGCAAUAUUGGCCCAAUUCCGGCGAUAUUGGCCCGAAAACCCUGGGUCACCGUGUCUUAGAUUUGAAGUUGAGGAAAAUCGCCUACGAAUUUAUAGAAACUAACUUGGGGAUUGGAUAAGGGACGGCAAGAGCAUUCUGGAUGUGUAGUUUGAGAGCCUUUGGUGACCAGUGGACGACAGAGCUGUUGCGUCGGCACUCGGCAGUCGUCGGCUUGCUGUUAAAUGGGGCUCCUGUUGCAGCGCAAAAGAGAAGAAGGAAAGAGGAUACGGGAGGAGAGAAAAUGGGUUUCACCCACUUUGUACAUUAAUUCUUUUCCACAUUUUUUAUGGAAUAAACGACAUUAUCUAUCAUCAAAAGUGCGUUUGGUACGUGAGAUGAGACGGAACAUGUUUUGAUGAUAAUAAUGGUUAGAAGUAAUAUAGUUCAAAUUCAUCUUUGAUGAUAAUCGAAUAUAAAAUCCCUUACUUACAAGUUACAAAUAAAGAUGAAUGCCAUUAAUUUUUUUUCCACUUUUAAUACAUACCUAAAUAAAAAGAAACAAAAUGAAAAUGAAAAGAAAUAAUAAUUUGAAAGAGAAAUGAAAAAUAAAGGUAAAUUGACAGCAUAAGGUAACCCCACUACCCCGCUGCUGCCCGCAAGUUCUUUCCUCGCCCCUGUUUCUACGUCCAAUUAAUCUGUAGAAACUAACUUGGGAGUUGGAAAGAGAACGGAAAGAGGAGUCUGGAUAUGUAAUUUGACGGCCGUUGGUGACCCGUGGACGAAAAUAAACUUCAUGCGAAAACAAGACCAGAUUGAGGUAAGAAAGAAAAAUACAUAGGCAGAAAUAACAUGUCAGUCGGGCAAGACAAGUAAUUGCAACCAUAACACAACACAAUGAAGAAACAUACCACGAGGAUUUUGAACAAACAUAAUGAAGUGUAACCAAGAGCAUACAAAUAUCAAAAAUAUAGAAAAGAAUGCUAUACAAUCACUAUAAGUGAUUGCAAAGGCCAUCUUUCCUCGCCCCUGUUUCUACGUCCAAUUAAUUAAUCUGGAGGUAAGCUUUUAAAUCAGGUUGAAUUAACCUCUAUAAGUACAUCUUUUAAUUAGUAUUGUAUCAUCUUGUUGAUCGUGUUUAAAUUUCUAGGUUACACAACCUAAUCUUGAGGACUCAAAUGAUGAUGAUAAUCUCGAAAAUCUUACUCUAAUUAACUGUAAUUCAAUGGAAGUCACAUAAAAUUAUCAGAUUCCACAAUAGUAUUGGAAAUAACCUUUAGUCCUUAAACAGCUAUUUUCAGAAACACACAUUUCAGUGAUUUCUAAUAUUUUCCAAUGCAUGCAGGAGUUUCCCGAAAGAAAAAAAGAAGGUUGUGGCUUCGGCUAUUCGCUUACUUUCAUAUGUACAAACCAAUAAAAGGUCAUUUGUUGUACCAGAAUUUCAUUCCAAAGAUACAGUUUCCGUUGCUUACUAUAUGUAUAAUUAAUUUCGAUUGCGAUUAUUACUGUUUGAAUUCAUCUCUCGACUGCCUAUGGGGACGUCAAGGUGGACACCAAAAUGGAGGCGUGAUGACCUGCAUCCGGAAAGUGACGUAGCCAUAACGUGCAUGCAAAUAUAAUUUAAUAAAAUAACUUCAAAUGAUCUACGGAAAAAUCGGCAUAGUUUCCUUUGGAAUUAGGUUUUGGCCCCCAAAUUUAAAACCUGCUGAAAAAGUUAUAAUUAUUUCAAAACCACAUCCCCGACACCUAAUGGGUUAUCAACCCUCUACUACAUGCACGUAUACUCCAAUAUACUUACUGGUGGUAUAGCAUACA
rnacentral:lncRNA from 1 species